rnacentral:rRNA from 1 species
GACGAACGCUGGCGGCGUGCCUAACACAUGCAAGUCGAGCGAAGUGAGUACUACGGUACGAACUUAGCGGCGGACGGGUGAGUAACGCGUGGAGAAUCUACCCUGUAGACUGGGAUAACACCUCGAAAGGGGUGCUAAUACCGGAUAAUGUCGAGAAGCGGCAUCGCUUUUCGAAGAAAGGAGAGAAUCCGCUAUAGGAGGAGUCCGCGUCCCAUUAGCUAGUUGGUGAGGGUAACGGCCCACCAAGGCGACGAUGGGUAGCCGGCCUGAGAGGGUGAACGGCCACACUGGAACUGAGACACGGUCCAGACUCUUACGGGAGGCAGCAGUGGGGAAUAUUGUGCAAUGGGGGAAACCCUGACACAGCAACGCCGCGUGAGCGAAGAAGGCCUUCGGGUUGUAAAGCACAAUAGUAUGGGAAGAUAAUGACGGUACCAUACGAAAGCCCCGGCUAACUACGUGCCAGCCGCCGCGGUAA